CACGAAGAUCGCUAAAGGCCAUCUUGCCUAACAAUAAGCCAGCAGAGGUGAGCUCAUAUACCUGUGCUAACAUCCUAACGAAGAGAAAGGCACAAAGACAGUCAGUCAAGUUUCAGCGACCACUGUAACUAGAACGUUUAACUGAGGAUUGUUUUCACAUAGUUUGAUUCUUCAAACACCAAGAAUGGGUUACUUCAACUCUUACGUUUUUCUAGUGCUGGUUAUGGUUGGGACAGCGCUUGCUGGGGACAUGUUGCGCAAGUCAAUUGUUUAUGACAAAAAUACGCCGGAUGUGUUUUACUGUCCCCAAGAAAAACCGACUGGGUUUGACAACAUGAUUGUAAAGGCGCGGUCGUUGAAGAAAUUAUGCGAAUUCGAAGGACAACAGCUUCCUAAACACUACAAAAGCGACUGCUACAAUGAUGUCGACGAAACUGAAUUUGCCUGCAAGGAAAAGCAUCGUAUCAUGAGAUUAAAAGAAGCUAGUGAAUCUGACAACUCGAUUGCGGAUGCGUACGAAUUAUAACUUCUUCGCGGACAGAGAACAUUUUGCCAUGUAAUCUACAAACGACUAAUUAUCCUAAUACUAACUCGAAACGUUUGAACCCUCCUGGAAGCGAAAACAAUAUCGACUUUCAUUUGGAAGCUCGCAAGAUUAAAAAACUAAAAGAGUUCUAACGUUUCGUGUUAUCUAAAAAUUUGUCGUUUAUCAUGGAACUCAUCCUACUCGUCUAUCGGCAAAGACGAUCCGGGUCGAUCGAUCAUCGUCUCAGCGUUGACUCAUAACGGCCCAUAACGUUACUUUUACCUUUACAGUUUGAAUAAAAAGUGCAAUAAAUUCUCCAUAAGCGCCACUUGAUAAAAAACACGUCACUAAAUGCUACUGUUAAACCCAUGUUACGAGGACUAAAACUAUGUGCUUCAUUCGAUGAUGAUUUUAAACACCGGUGUAUGUGUAUGCUACGUGCAUUGAUUACGUUGAUUACGGAAGUAUUAAUUUUUCGUGUGAAAUGAAGUGUGACUGCAUAUAAAAUUUGCAUAAAAUAUAGCAUGUGCUUCUUUCUAAA